CUAGUAUACCCACUUCCGGUCUCGUUGUCAUGGUUUCUUUUGUUUCACGUCACAUCCGCUGACCUUCACCAUAGCAUGUCUUUCAUUGUAUAUUAUAUUUGUAACCAGCUAGCAUAGAUAUGUAUCAUGAAUUAAUGUCAUUUUUGUCUUGGAAUAUUGAUGGACUUGCAAAAAAAACUGGAAAACCCUGAGAUCCAAGCAUAUUUGAGGAAAUAUGACAUUAUAGCACUCCAAGAAACUCAUUCUAGUAUCCAUAAAAUUGAUCUGGCUAGGGCUAUGACAUCAUUCUGCUGGUUUGCUGUGCACUGUACGAGUAUGAACAACACCAACAGACUGAUCAGUGGAGACAACAAGGGUUACGCGUCCCAGCUCUUUGAGAAACUCAUGAAUCCCGACAGUCUUCCUGGACAGGGUACAUUUGUAGCAGCAUUUGCUCAGAGUAAUGAAGGGGACGUGUCUCCUAACACUAAAGGACCUCACUGUACUGACAGUGGCCUGCCCUGCGAUAUCCUCACCAGCACGUGCCACGGAAGUACCUGUAUGAUGCUGCCACAAAACCGAUCUCAGGACCAGUAGAUUUCCGUCACAGCUAUGUAGACAUGCCAAAUGUCAAAGUCUCUUCACUCAACUCGACUGGAAAUGUAAAACUUCAACAAACA
rnacentral:misc_RNA from 1 species